AAACCGUUUCACACAAAUCUCCUUAUCCUAGUCAAUCUCACGUCAAAUUUCCUACUAAAAAUAAAUCAGUUUUGUUGCUACCAUCAGAAGGCGGUAUUCAAUCGAAUUAAUAACACAAAACACUACAAAACUUAUUAAAGAGAAACACUGGAAAACUGAUCAAACCUGCAAGAAACGAUCAGGUGAUUAGUGCUCUUGAAUAAACCAACAAAGUGACUUAACUACAAUAUAAACUUUAG